rnacentral:lncRNA from 1 species
GCUGGAGAGAGUCAGCAGCGAACAUGCUGUGCUGCUUUCCCAGGCCUCGAGGCCGCAGCCUCAAGACCCAGCACGGGAAAAGCACUUGGGAAUGGGUGAGAGGAUGGAUCACUGGGUCCAGACACUCCAGGCCACUGGGCAGGAACCACCCAGUCCUCAGGAGCAGCCCAGGGCAGGUCUCCCUGGACAGUUUCCACAUCUAUGGGCCCUCUGUCCCAGAGCCCAGAAGGGCCUGCAUUUCCUCCCCACUGGAGGGGAUGGUGGAAAGGCCCAUAUCUUCUUCCCUUUACUCCUUGCUGGAGCGGCACACCCAGGUAUAUUACACUGUCAGAGAUCUCCUGGACCAGCUGGAGCGAGAUGACCUUACUGAGGCAGAGGCCAAGGGAGCAGCUCCAGUCCAAGCUGAAGUCCCACCUGCAGAGCCUGUGCCAGCUCCACCUGCAGCUGCCUCCCCAGCUCUGGCACCACAGCCAGAGCGAGCACCAGAAAGCCCUUCUCCUCCAGCUGGACAGCUGGGGCAAAUGGUGGCUCCUCAGCAGGUGUCAGCUC